rnacentral:rRNA from 1 species
AGCGAACGCUGGCGGCAGGCCUAACACAUGCAAGUCGAACGAACUCUUCGGAGUUAGUGGCGGACGGGCGAGUAACACGUGGAAACGUGCCUUUAGGUUCGGAAUAACUCAGGGGAACUUGUGCUAAUACCGAAUGUGCCCUUCGGGGGAAAGAUUUAUCGCCCUUAGAGCGGCCCGCGUCUGAUUAGCUAGUUGGUGCGGUAAAGGCUCACCAAGGCGACGAUCAGUAGCUGGUCUGAGAGGAUGAUCAGCCACAUUGGGACUGAGACACGGCCCAAACUCCUACGGGAGGCAGCAGUGGCGAAUCUUGCGCAAUGGGCGAAAGCCUGACGCAGCCAUGCCGCGUGAAUGAUGAAGGUCUUAGGAUUGUAAAAUUCUUUCACCGGGGACGAUAAUGACGGUACCCGGAGAAGAAGCCCCGGCUAACUUCGUGCCAGCAGCCGCCGUAA